rnacentral:rRNA from 1 species
UACGUAGGGGGCUAGCGUUGUCCGGAAUCAUUGGGCGUAAAGCGCGUGUAGGCGGUCCGGUAAGUCCGCUGUGAAAGUCGAGGGCUCAACCCUCGAAUGCCGGUGGAUACUGUCGGGCUUGAGUACGGGAGAGGCGAGUGGAAUUCCUGGUGUAGCGGUGAAAUGCGCAGAUAUCAGGAGGAACACCAAUUGCGAAGGCAGCUCGCUGGGACGUAACUGACGCUGAGACGCGAAAGCGUGGGGAGCAAACAGG